GACGAACGCUGGCGGCGUGCUUAACACAUGCGAGUCGAACGGAAAGGCCCUGCUUUUGUGGGGUGCUCGAGUGGCGAACGGGUGAGUAACACGUGAGUAACCUGCCCUUGACUUUGGGAUAACUUCAGGAAACUGGGGCUAAUACCGGAUAGGAGCUCCUGCUGCAUGGUGGGGGUUGGAAAGUUUCGGCGGUUGGGGAUGGACUCGCGGCUUAUCAGCUUGUUGGUGGGGUAGUGGCUUACCAAGGCUUUGACGGGUAGCCGGCCUGAGAGGGUGACCGGCCACAUUGGGACUGAGAUACGGCCCAGACUCCUACGGGAGGCAGCAGUGGGGAAUAUUGCACAAUGGGCGGAAGCCUGAUGCAGCAACGCCGCGUGCGGGAUGACGGCCUUCGGGUUGUAAACCGCUUUCGCCGGUGACGAAGCGUGAGUGACGGUAAUGGGUAAAGAAGCACCGGCUAACUACGCG
rnacentral:rRNA from 1 species